rnacentral:rRNA from 1 species
UAAUACGAAGGGUGCAAGCGUUACUCGGAAUUACUGGGCGUAAAGCGUGCGUAGGCGGUUGUUUAAGUCUGCUGUGAAAGCCCUGGGCUCAACCUGGGAACUGCAGUGGAAACUGGGCAGCUAGAGUGUGUCAGAGGAUGGUGGAAUUCCCGGUGUAGCGGUGAAAUGCGUAGAGAUCGGGAGGAACACCAGUGGCGAAGGCGGCCAUCUGGGACAACACUGACGCUGAGGCACGAAAGCGUGGGGAGCAAACAGGAUUAGAUACCCUGGUAGUCCACGCCCUAAACGAUGCGAACUGGACGUUGGGCACACUUAGGUGCUCAGUGUCGAAGCUAACGCGUUAAGUUCGCCGCCUGGGGAGUACGGUCGCAAGACUG